rnacentral:rRNA from 1 species
UACGGGGGGGGUAAGCGUUGUUCGGAAUUACUGGGCGUAAAGGGCUCGUAGGCGGCCAACUAAGUCGGACGUGAAAUCCCUCAGCUUAACUGGGGAACUGCGUCUGAUACUGGAUGGCUUGGAUUUGGGAGAGGGAUGCGGAAUUCCAGGUGUAGCGGUGAAAUGCGUAGAUAUCUGGAGGAACACCGGUGGCGAAGGCGGCAUCCUGGACCGAGAUUGACGCUGAGGCACGAAGGCCAGGGGAGCAAACGGG